AGGGUGGGUAGUGGGCAAUUGGGACUUGGAGUGCUCCUAUUGCUUUCUCCAAAAUUCCUCCUCUACACCACCAACUGUUCUUCUCACCCGGAGGAUGAUAUUUCUGUUCACCCACUCAGGAAUUAUUUAACAAACAUUUAUUGUGCCCAAGACUUUUGUGGGCUCUCUGCCAGGAAAGGGCAGGUCAUUGAAUGGGCCCUGGGAAAAAUGAUGUCUGAGCUUCUCCCGCUUUACUGACAGAUGUAUCCUCUAGGAUUCCAGAGGCAAUGCCAGAUGUCGGUGUGCAGCUGUGUUCACAGAACAUCCUAUCAAUGUUUAUUCCCUGUGUAAUUGCAAAGCAAAUGGCUUAACGCCAUUGUAAAAACAACUCU
rnacentral:lncRNA from 1 species